UCUUUUUCAGAUGAGUUAGUAAUACCUGAUAAGCUCACAAGACAAGAAAAUACAAAUCAAAAAGGGAAAACUUCCAACCAGCUAAGGACAUUUUGGGAAAGACAACCUACUGACAUUGUCGGUCGUCUCCGAAAGGUGGCUUUUGCACAAAACGAGUAUACUACACCAAUUUUCAGAGCAGAAUAUACAGAAUUCAAACCAAAACAUCCGGUGAGUCCUAUUACUGUAGUCUGGUAAUUAUAUUCAAUUAUAAACCAAUUAUAUUCAUUUACCAGGUAUCUCCAAUACUACAUAUGCAUAUCUAUGUAUAUUUGAGUAUACAUAAAUAACAUAUAUUUUUGUCUCAAACCAGAAUUAGUAAAUGGCUGACUACUUUUAAAAAUAUGUAUUUCCAAAAUCA
rnacentral:lncRNA from 1 species